CGCCACUGAAUCAACUGUAUUACGAUUUUUCUCCACGCUUAUCAUGCAUGAUAUUUCAGUUAAAAUUAUUUAAAGAAACGCGAGGCUUGCUGAGCUUUUUAACAUUUGACAUUUAACUUUUGAGAUUUAAAGUUUCAACAUGUCAAGGUUACAUUGAGUUUCAUAAUCUCAGACACAUGCACAGGUGUACAGGAUUUCGGACUCUUGGUUCUUUUGCUUCCUUAAAACAGCAACAUCUUAUCACGGAAAUCAUAACGGGAAAAGUCAUGGAUAUUGUGUACUAGGUGAAAUAUAUAAGUCAUUAAACAUUUACAAUGUUUGUGGCAUUACAAAUUUAAACAAACAAUAAACAACAAAAUAAAAAAAAAAUAGUAUACGAAAGUUAAUCAAAUAGACACAAAACCAUAAGUAAGAAAUUUAUAAUAUUACAAUAUUCAAUCUACAUGUACAUGUUACAAUUAGACCUAUUUCCUUAGUUCUAAAAUGACCCUUUAACAAAGAAGCCAAUAAUUCUAACAUGUCUAAACGAAGCGGGGUUUAAUGUAUAAAAUAAUUUUUGAUUAUCAGGUAAAUGCAUAAAAUGUUCCUCAUCUAAUAUACACCAUAUGCAGGUGUUGCUGGGAUUAGAAGUAAUCAUUAAAUUUCAUAAAUUACAAUUAAAUUACAAUAUAGUUCCGAAAAAUAUAUUCAUAGAAUUUGUCAUAACUAUCUUACUGAAAUUGUAAACUUUAUUUGGUAUACUUGAACAAACAAGAUAUUUUAAAGUGAACACCCUUGGGUUAUUUUCUCUUUGACACAUUCCCCAUUUCCAUUCUCAAUUUUACCCUAAAAAAAAUUAAAAGAAAAUUAGAGGAAAAUCUUCCCCGUAAGCAGCCCUCCUCUUUGAAAAAGAAAGAUGUGUGCUUCAAGUGAAUCCUACACGGAAUAUCAAAACUUAAAAGUGUCAGCCCUGUCGACUAUAGCUUGAAACAUCUGAUUAGUUUGUAAUUUUAAAUGUCAGGCAAUCAACAUGUGCCGAGAGAUUCAUGUUGCUUUUUAACCAUGUUAAUAUUGUGAUAAUGAAUGGGGAUUGUACACAUGCAGUAUGAGUCAGAAAACAUAAAAACCCACGAUUAUAUUUAAACGCAAUUAUUCUAAGCAUAAUUUGCCUAAUUCUCAUGUUCGAUUACGAUCUUGAUUGUUUUCCUGUCGAAGGUCGGAGGUUCUUGAAAUAUUUCGGCUACCAACACUAAUAUAAAGUUACCUCCAUUAUGUAACCAAGAGUGGUAUUAAACAGCAACGAUCAAUCAAUAAUCUUAGAUACAAAUUUGAACAACAAUGUUAUAUAAUUACAUCUUGGUGUACACAUUAGUCAUAAUUGUCUUUGAUUUAUCUUUCAGAAACUACGAGUACUUUGAGUAUCAGUUGUUUGGUUGUUGAAAUUAUAUUAUUAUAUUUAUAAUCACAAACUAAAGGAAGAUAAAUAAUAGAUAUGAAUAAACAAAAAGGAACGAACAGUACACAACACACCGCAAUGGAAUAUUGGCUGAGUACCAUUUGAUUCAUAUCCAUUAUCAAAAGAAAUGCGAUAGAUAGAAAAGAGAUGUUCAAACUUAUAGGUCAAAAACAAACUAAAAAUGCCAUGGCAAAAACGAAAAACAACAGUACACAAAAAUGAAAACCAAAAAAGAAAAGAACACUUGAGCAAAGUUUUCGAAGAUUUUUUUUAUAGUAACAACCGUUAGAUAAAUAUCUAGUAUUGUAAAUUUUGAAGGAAUUUGAUGGAAUAGAAUCUCAUUCUAAUUAUGGAAACAUGGAUGGAC
rnacentral:lncRNA from 1 species